rnacentral:misc_RNA from 1 species
GGAAGGAUUUAUAUAUAUAUUGAAGUAUAUAAUUAGGGGAAGGAUUUUAAGUAAGUAAAUUAAGGGGAGAUGUUUAGGGAAUGAAUUGUUAUGAAUAUUUAAGGUUGUAUUUUAAUUUGGAAGUAGGAGGGAUUUUUUAAUUUUUUAUAGUUAAUAUAUGUUAAGAGUUUAUAGAGUGUAUUGUUGUUGUUAAGUUGUUUUAGUCGUG